rnacentral:rRNA from 1 species
GUGGGGAAUCUUGCGCAAUGGGCGAAAGCCUGACGCAGCCAUGCCGCGUGAAUGAUGAAGGUCUUAGGAUUGUAAAAUUCUUUCACCGGGGACGAUAAUGACAGUACCCGGAGAAGAAGCCCCGGCUAACUUCGUGCCAGCAGCCGCGGUAAUACGAAGGGGGCUAGCGUUGCUCGGAAUUACUGGGCGUAAAGGGCGCGUAGGCGGACAGUUUAGUCAGAGGUGAAAGCCCAGGGCUCAACCUUGGAAUUGCCUUUGAUACUGGCUGUCUUGAGUACGGGAGAGGUGAGUGGAACUCCGAAUGUAGAGGUGAAAUUCGUAGAUAUUCGGAAGAACACCAGUGGCGAAGGCGACUCACUGGCCCGUUACUGACGCUGAGGCGCGAAAGCGUGGGGAGCAAACAGGAUUAGAUACCCCUGUAGUCC